AUUGAACGCUGGCGGCAGGCCUAAUACAUGCAAGUCGAACGAGAGGCGGACGGGUGAGUAAUGUCUGGGAAACUGCGUGACCGAGGGGGAUAACUACUGGAAAAGGUAGCUACUACCGCAUACCACCGGAUGUGCCGCGGUGGGAUUAGCUAGUCGGUGGGGUAAAGGCUCACCUAGACGACGAUGCCUAGCUGGACUGAGAGGCUGACCGGCCACACUGGGACUGAGACACGGUCCAGACUCCUACGGGAGGCAGCAGUGGGGAAUAUUGGGCAAUGGACGCAAGCCUGAAGCAGCCAUGCCGCGUGUAUGAAGAAGGCCUUCGGGUUGUAAAGUACUUUCAGCGGAGAGGCGUUACCCACAGAGAAAGCACCGGCUAACUCCGUGCCAGCAGCCGCGGUAAUUC
rnacentral:rRNA from 1 species